rnacentral:rRNA from 1 species
UACGUAGGGAGCAAGCGUUGCCCGGAAUCAUUGGGCGUAAAGCGCGCGUAGGUGGCCUCGUCAGUCCGCUGUGAAAGUCAAAGGCUCAACCUUUGAAAGCCGGUGGAUACUGUGAGGCUAGAGUACGGAAGAGGCGAGUGGAAUUCCUGGUGUAGCGGUGGAAUGCGCAGAUAUCAGGAGGAACACCAAAAGCGAAGGCAGCUCGCUGGGACGUAACUGACACUGAGGCGCGAAAGCUAGGGGAGCAAACGGG